GAUGAACGCUAGCUACAGGCUUAACACAUGCAAGUCGAGGGGAAACGAUAGGGAAAGCUUGCUUUUUCUAGGCGUCGACCGGCGCACGGGUGAGUAACGCGUAUCCAACCUGCCCAUCACUUGGGGAUAACCUUGCGAAAGUAAGACUAAUACCCAAUGACGUCUCUAGAAGACAUCUGAAGGAGAUUAAAGAUUUAUCGGUGAUGGAUGGGAUGCGUCUGAUUAGCUUGUUGGCGGGGUAACGGCCCACCAAGGCGACGAUCAGUAGGGGUUCUGAGAGGAAGGUCCCCCACAUUGGAACUGAGACACGGUCCAAACUCCUACGGGAGGCAGCAGUGAGGAAUAUUGGUCAAUGGACGAGAGUCUGAGCCAGCCAAGUAGCGUGCAGGAAGACGGCCCUAUGGGUUGUAAACUGCUUUUAUAAGGGAAUAAAGUGAGUCUCGUGAGACUUUUUGCAUGUACCUUAUGAAUAAGGACCGGCUAAUUCCGUGCCAGCAGCCGCCGCAG
rnacentral:rRNA from 1 species